UUUAUGGAGAGUUUGAUCCUGGCUCAGGAUGAACGCUGGCGGCGUGCCUAAUACAUGCAAGUCGAGCGAACGGACGAGAAGCUUGCUUCUCUGAUGUUAGCGGCGGACGGGUGAGUAACACGUGGAUAACCUACCUAUAAGACUGGGAUAACUUCGGGAAACCGGAGCUAAUACCGGAUAAUAUUUUGAACCGCAUGGUUCAAAAGUGAAAGACGGUCUUGCUGUCACUUAUAGAUGGAUCCGCGCUGCAUUAGCUAGUUGGUAAGGUAACGGCUUACCAAGGCAACGAUGCAUAGCCGACCUGAGAGGGUGAUCGGCCACACUGGAACUGAGACACGGUCCAGACUCCUACGGGAGGCAGCAGUAGGGAAUCUUCCGCAAUGGGCGAAAGCCUGACGGAGCAACGCCGCGUGAGUGAUGAAGGUCUUCGGAUCGUAAAACUCUGUUAUUAGGGAAGAACAUAUGUGUAAGUAACUGUGCACAUCUUGACGGUACCUAAUCAGAAAGCCACGGCUAACUACGUGCCAGCAGCCGCGGUAAUACGUAGGUGGCAAGCGUUAUCCGGAAUUAUUGGGCGUAAAGCGCGCGUAGGCGGUUUUUUAAGUCUGAUGUGAAAGCCCACGGCUCAACCGUGGAGGGUCAUUGGAAACUGGAAAACUUGAGUGCAGAAGAGGAAAGUGGAAUUCCAUGUGUAGCGGUGAAAUGCGCAGAGAUAUGGAGGAACACCAGUGGCGAAGGCGACUUUCUGGUCUGUAACUGACGCUGAUGUGCGAAAGCGUGGGGAUCAAACAGGAUUAGAUACCCUGGUAGUCCACGCCGUAAACGAUGAGUGCUAAGUGUUAGGGGGUUUCCGCCCCUUAGUGCUGCAGCUAACGCAUUAAGCACUCCGCCUGGGGAGUACGACCGCAAGGUUGAAACUCAAAGGAAUUGACGGGGACCCGCACAAGCGGUGGAGCAUGUGGUUUAAUUCGAAGCAACGCGAAGAACCUUACCAAAUCUUGACAUCCUUUGACAACUCUAGAGAUAGAGCCUUCCUCUUCGGGGGACAAAGUGACAGGUGGUGCAUGGUUGUCGUCAGCUCGUGUCGUGAGAUGUUGGGUUAAGUCCCGCAACGAGCGCAACCCUUAAGCUUAGUUGCCAUCAUUAAGUUGGGCACUCUAAGUUGACUGCCGGUGACAAACCGGAGGAAGGUGGGGAUGACGUCAAAUCAUCAUGCCCCUUAUGAUUUGGGCUACACACGUGCUACAAUGGACAAUACAAAGGGCAGCGAAACCGCGAGGUCAAGCAAAUCCCAUAAAGUUGUUCUCAGUUCGGAUUGUAGUCUGCAACUCGACUACAUGAAGCUGGAAUCGCUAGUAAUCGUAGAUCAGCAUGCUACGGUGAAUACGUUCCCGGGUCUUGUACACACCGCCCGUCACACCACGAGAGUUUGUAACACCCGAAGCCGGUGGAGUAACCUUUAGGAGCUAGCCGUCGAAGGUGGGACAAAUGAUUGGGGUGAAGUCGUAACAAGGUAGCCGUAUCGGAAGGUGCGGCUGGAUCACCUCCUUUCU
rnacentral:rRNA from 1 species